rnacentral:lncRNA from 1 species
AAUGAUUACAUAAGUAAACAAGAUAAUUACAGAGGUUGAUCAAAGUUGUUUAGGAAAAAAAAAACCUGGAUUAUAGGAUAGAGGGUACAUUUGGAAGGGGUGUGGGGCAAGGGAUGCAACUGUAUUUUUUUAUUUAUUUUUUAAGGCUGCACCUGUGGCAUAUAGAAGUUCCUGGCCCAGGGGUCGAAUCAGAGUUGCAGUGACCAGCCUAUGCCACAGCCAUAGCAACGCCAGACCAGUAACCCACUGAGUGAGGCCAGGGAUCGAACCCACAUCUUCACAGAGACAAUGUUGGAUCCUUAAGCUGCUGAGCCACCUCAGGAACUCCACAAGGGGUGCAAUUUUAGACGGGCUGGUCAGCUUCGGCGCUCUUGAGCCAUAGCAGUUAAACCAGCAGUUGAGGCUGAGUGGAAGCAGGUCAUGGUGAGGAGCUAAGUGAGUGGGGUGCUGGGGAGACAGAAUGCGUGCAAAAGCCCCCAAGUGGGAAGGAGCUAAGGGUUGGAACAGAAGGGGUGGGGGGCUAAACCCUCAUGAGCAUGGCAGCAAGUGGGGGAAACGAGGCUGGAGAGAAAGGCAGACCCCUAAACACGGGGUCCUGAACACCAGGUCUCAGCAAGAUAGCACCCACUGGCAGAAUCUGGCCCACAGCCUGUGUUGGUCUGGCCCACCAGCUAAGAAUGUUUUUAUAAUUUCAAAUGCCUGAAAAACAUCAAAAGAAGACUAUUAUUUCAGGACACAGCUCAGUAAUUAUAGGAAAUCCAGACUCUCUAAUAAAGCUUCAUUGGCACACAGCCAGGCUCGCCAUGACCAUCUUGCCUCCAGCUGUGCCUCCGAUACAAAGGCAGGGGUGAGAACAAGAGCACAGAAGACCUGCAAAGCCCGAAAUAUUCACUACUUAGUGCUUUAUAGAAAAAGUUUGCCCAUCUCUAUUGUCGGCCAUGGUGAAAUAUUUGGAUUUUGUUUGGAUUUUUGUGGCAGAGUCCAGCCUAGAAACCAUUCCCACAGCCUAACAAAUGAAUGGAUCAGUGGUGUCCAGUAGCUGGCAAAGCGACAGCCAGCAUUUAGUGAGGGCUUAUCCCUACCAGGCACUCCUCUAAGUACUUUACCUGUGUAAAUUUCUCGCAUCUUCUCAACAAUUAUUAUUCCCAGCUGACAAAAGAGGAAACUGAGUCUUAGAUUCAACAACCUGCCCAAGGUCACCUGGCUGGAUUUCUUGGAGCUGAAUUCCAGCCAUGUCAGCCUGGCUCCAGAGCCUGGACUAAUAGUUUGAAAUAUAUUUUUUAUAGAAGUUUUUAAGACCUUCCAGAACAGAACAGAACACUGAGGCACAAGGGGAGACCUGGGUUCCUUGUUUGUACAUGAAGGCCCCUCCCACCCCCCGGAGGGUGUGUGUCAGUCAUCCUGGGAGAAUUGUGAGCCAAGACUUGAAGCUGCAAUUGCUGCCCUGAGGUCCAUUUCCUUCUGAAAUCAGCUCUUACAUGGGCUCUGUUUUCAGAAUGACCUGUUUGAUUAUAGAAGUUUCAGCAAGAAGCCUGAAGAACAAAAGCUUAGGGGGCCCUUUCCUUUUCCAGCACAUCUAACCUAUUGCGGUUCCUAUGGGGACAAAAUGCUGCCCCAGCCACCUGACAUCUAAGGAUGUAUGGAGCACAUGCCACCAUGCUGGGCACAUUGGAGAGUGUGCUGGAUUCGUACCUCCCCUUAUGCUGUAAUGACCCUCCCCAUUUGACAGAUGAAGACGUGGCUGCCAGGAGACAAGGCGUCUGCUCGGGGCCCAAGUGACAAGCCUGGGUCUGUCCACCUCCCACCCCUUACUCAUCCCACUAAGUUUUGCUGCCCAUAGGCAGCCUUUGUCUCACUCAGUACCUAGUAACCAGAGGCUGCUGCUCUGGUUUGGAAACUCCCCAACCCCUCUGUGUAGGUCUAUAGCAGUGCUCAGAGAAUCCCAACAUGGUGUGAACCGGCUGGCCUGCAUCUGCUGGGAAAUGCAGGCUGGGCCACCUCUUGUGCUGGCUUUGGGAAAGGCCACAGAGGUUUCACAGGAGCUGUGAAAGGUUAAGAAGAAUGUUUAGGCACCUCUUGUCCUUGCAGCAAAAACCCCAGGGGCUUCUACACAUGGGGAAAUCCCCUAUUUUUCUGACCCUUAAAACAGUCCAUCCUUCGCCUACUUACUAGAUCUCCUUUUCAGAAUUUUUUCCCCUCGACAAUCUAGGAUGACCAGGGGCGUGAUGUUUAUUUCUCUAAAACCUGUCCCAUCACCACCACCCCAACAAAUGCUACUCCUGUGAGUACGAAAACAUACCAUGGGGACUUCAUGAAAUGGGGAGCAAAGUGACAAAUUGGCUAUCAGCAGUGAGACCUUUCACAUACAAGGGGGUCAGUAGACACUUUUCCAUUAGAAAAUAUGUAGAAGGUCACUCCCUGACCACUACUCUCCAACCUCAUCUUUCCCCUCCAUUCGCUAAGCAGCCACAAUCUGCUGCCUUCCCCUGCUGAGCUCCUCUGUGGGCUGCAGGCUGAAGUGAAGGCGAUGAGAGUAGGAAGGACCAUGCAAACCACAAGGGCAUGUCACCCAAAGCUGCCUUGCAGCAUUUCCCCCACGGACCAUUUGUCAUCUGGGUCCAGUGGACUAUUGUGACAUUUCUCAAGGCUUGCAAACAGUUGACAGCACAUCUGUGGGGGAAUAAGAUACACUCAUUAUCUCCCAGAGGGUAAUUUAAAGCAAGAUCUUGAAUGCUCUGAAAAAAAUUAUAAGACAAGCAGCCUUUUAGGCUCCGAAAAAAAGGGCCCUGUUUCCAUCUCAGAUGGAGAGUUCAUUAUUGUUCAUUCACUCACUCAUUUGACAACCUGUUUCAGGUGCUGUUGUGGGUCAGUUUCCCUGGGAAAAGGAUGCAGAGACAGAGAUUUGUGUGUAGGAACUGAUAGCCAUGCUCUCAGGAAAACACUUGUGAUGGGACAGAAAGAGAAGCUGAAUGGGGAUGCUGUCAUAACAAAGGCCUCAGCUAAUUCUGACCCCAAGGGGAGCUCUGGAGCUGGGCCAUUUCCCUUCACAGUUACUCUACCUGGGGGCAAGGGUACAGGGCCUUUCAACUCCUCUUGGGGGUCCCAUGGAGGAGGUGUGACUUGGGUAAAAUGCUUCUCCCCACUGAGGGUAAUUCUCAGAGAAGGACCCAACUAACCAGCCUCCCAGAGAUGGAGGGAGAAUCUGGGUAGAAUACCUGAGUGUACACCACAGGUGUCAAUUAAGGAAAAGCAUUUACUUUUUUUUUUUUUUUUUUUUUUUUUUUUGCCUUUUCUAGGGCCGCUCCCACGGCAUAUGGAGGUUCCCAGGCUAGGGGUCUAAUUGGGGCUGUAGCCACUGGCCUACACCAUAGCCACAGCAACGCGGGAUCCAAGCCACGUCUGCGACCUACACCACAGCUCACAGCAACGCCAGAUCCAUAAUCCACUGAGCGAGGCCAGGGAUCGAACAAGCAACUUCAUGGUUCCUAGUCGGAUUAGUGGAUCACUGCGCCACGACGGGAACUCCCAGGACAAGCAUUUACUUUAACCACUCUUACUAAUUUUUCUCUGAAAUGGAUUACCACAAGAAGCUGAUGUGGGAACAUAGAAAGUUCCCCAUAUAUUUAAAGUUUCACUACAACUGAUGCAAUUUAAUAAACAAUUAUUUAACACUAUCCUAUAGCAAACAACCCAGAAGUCCCUCUAAAGUGAAUGGGCAAAUAAACUGUGGUAAAUUCAUAUCAUGAACUACCACCCAAGCAUAGAAAGGAAUGAACUCAUGACACAAGAAACUCAAAAUAAUCAUGCCACAUAAGAACAAUGACAGUAAGCAGAUCAGUGGUUGCUUGAAGAGGGGAGAUGGAGAGGGAUGGGAGAGAGGGUUACAACAGGCAGGAGAAAAUUUGGGGGAUGAUGGAUAUUUUCAAUAUUUUGAUUGUGAUGCUUUCAUGGGUAUAUGUAAAUAUCAAAAUUUAUCAAAUUGUAUAUUUUAAAUAUGUACAGUUCAUUAUGCCAAUUAUAUCAAUAAAGCUAUUU